rnacentral:tRNA from 1 species
AAACAUAGAAGUAAAUACUUACACUUAGUUUCGACCUAAAAAUAAGGUUAAUAAAAACCUCAUGUUUA